CAGACGUAAGGAAUCGGGAAUUAAACUUGGAAUAUUGGUUAGUACAUUCAAAUGCGUUUCCUUAACGAAUAAGCUGAGGUUUGGUGUUAACUUUUAAAGCCAAAACGUGUUGUGUUGAGAUGUAUGGCACGGUGGCGUUGCCUGUUGAUAAUGUGAUUACAUUUAGUUUUUGUUUCAAAACAUUUCUUUUCCUACAGGCAGGACAAGCGUUUAGAAAGUUUCUUCCACUCUUUGACCGAGUAUUGGUUGAAAGGAGUGCUGCUGAAACUGUAACCAAAGGAGGCAUUAUGCUUCCAGAAAAAUCUCAAGGAAAAGUAUUGCAAGCAACAGUAGUCGCUGUUGGAUCGGGUUCCAAAGGAAAGGGUGGAGAGAUUCAACCAGUUAGCGUGAAAGUUGGAGAUAAAGUUCUUCUCCCAGAAUAUGGAGGCACCAAAGUAGUUCUAGAUGACAAGGUGUGUAAACUUAAUAAUUCUAAAAAGAAGUCAGAUAUUUGCGAUUAGUUGUCUUAACUAAUGGUUUCUUCAUUUGCAGGAUUAUUUCCUAUUUAGAGAUGGUGACAUUCUUGGAAAGUACGUAGACUGAAAUAAGUCACUAUUGAAAUGGCAUCAACAUGAAGCUGCCCAUUCCACUGAAGUUCUGAAAUCUUUCAUCAUGUAAAUAAUUUCCAUAUUUCUCUUUUAUAAUAAACUAAUGAUAACUAAUGA
rnacentral:sRNA from 1 species